rnacentral:lncRNA from 7 species
AUUCCAGUCCAAGUACUAAAGCUUUCACACGCUCUGCCUUAUUUGCUAGAAAAUCUGUGAUUCAAAACCUGCAUAUAGUGGAUGGAGCCAAAGAAUGAAGGACUGCUACGGCUGCCUAUCUCACAUCCCUUCAAAAAGGACUGAAGAGCUUUAACUAAGCCAAUAUAAGGUCUAAUUUUCCUUCGAAUCAUUAAGGAGGGAGCCUCCAACAAGCUAGCCCACGAAGUUCAGUUUAAAAUAGCAUCAGAUGUCUGAAGAAGGUAUUCCACAAAGGAGGCAAAAAUCACAUCAUAACAGAAGGCAGGAUGAUAAGGAACCUCAGAUAUUUACCUAUUCCCUUUAUCUAUCAAGUUGAUCAACUGUAUAAUAAAAUGCCUAACAUUUUGUUGAAUAACCUCCAGAAAUGGUGAUACCAGUAUCAAAAUAUUUCCAUGACACCUGAGCCUUUCUUGCUGUAAAUUCAGCAUCUGUGUUUUUAGAAAAAGGCUGGAAUGCCACAUUUUCACCUCCAGGUUCAGCAGUUCCGCCUGGCCCCUUUCAGCCUGAGCUUCCAGAAGACCUGUGGACCACAAGCUACUCACGGGUUCUUGCCAUCAACUAGUGAAUUAAAUCCAACGUUGUAUUUAAAUGUAAAACUAAAUGUAGAAGAGCACUGGCAAAACAUACUCAACUUUCUUUUUUCUUGUUUGGCACAUCUACCCCUGUGACAUCGCAGCAUGACUAAAUCCAUAGGGCUCUGCCUGUUCAUUUAGAAACAUAAGGCAAAUUUUACAAUGACAUCUAAAAGUCUUCUAAAUAACCUGUAUCCCUCGCUUUAUCAAACAUACAUUCCUUCCUCCUUUUCCAGGGUGAACAGCAGGGAAAAAAAAAUCAAAGACUAUUCUGAUCCUUGCAGUCUGAUCUAUGCCUACAAUGUGUUGCUAGCCAGAGCUUUUAGAAAAUUCAAAGACCUGCAAAACACCAGCAGACACGGUCCAAAGUAAAGGCAACAUGAAGAAUAUUCAAAGAUGAAAAGGACUAUGUUGCAUUUAUUUCUGUGUGACUCAGUGUGGCAGGUUAAUUCACCCGCAGCUACCUGCUCUUUGGGGAAAAUGUUGAAACCUAAGGGCAAAGCAGUCACAGUAGUACUUCUGCUCUGCCGGUAUUCUCAGAAGUAUUAAGCUGUAGCAGUUCAAAAGCAAACAUUUACAGCCAGAUCCUAAGGGGUUUGUUUUUGUACAGACUGCUAGCAUUAGAAAAAGAAAAAAGCAUGCAGUUUGGACUUGCUAAACCUUCACAGUAACGGCAGUUAACAAAGAAAAAGUUUGUGCCUUCCCCCACACUCCUAUGAUGGACUGAAACAUUUCACCUGGUUUAACACUUUGACAUUCUAAAAACAAAGCCAAAUAGAGCAUACUUUAUAGCCGAGCUUACUUUCAGCUUAUGAAACUUACACAGUUUGUUUGCAGAGUCCUUUUAAAAAAGCUUCAAGCUUUGGUGACUGUCAAGUCCCCAAGAAAGCAUCCUCCACCUUCUAAAUGAUCUGAAAGUCAGUUUUCAUAUGUGAGAUUGCAUGCAUGCAUGCGUACACACACAAAAACCAUCCUCACUCCUGAAGUAAAGGAUUAACGAUAGUGUAUUUAAUUCUUUUUCCAUCUCGUAUCUCAAAAAUUCCACAUCCCAAAGGUCUUCCAAAAAGUGAAAAGUCAUGGUGAAUCAACUGCGUAUGAACAGUUCUGAAAAGGUAAAAGGACACAGUUAUCCUGGAGUUCAGAAUGUCAGAAGUCCAUCAAGAUAAUGAAGGACUUGCUGCUGCAAAAAUAAGUCCCUGCCUUCACUAGAAGAGUAGAGAAAAAGCCCAAAAAGCCACCAAAGUUCUCUCCUGCUUUUUAUCAGUAUUCAAGUGACAUCCAUACUUCAGAAUGAACAGAAACACAGCAGCUAAGUGGGGCAUUAAAGCAACCUCCACAGAGCUGGACACUCUGUAAAGUUCAUUAGCACCCAGAUUACCUUUCUGCAGACUCUUUGUGCCCCUCACAAUCAUCAGAAAGAUCAUUAGAUUCUGACACAUCCUUCUCAUAUAUCCAAAUGACCUUUCAGAUAUGCUCCUCAGGUUCUCACAGUUAACACUACAUGCCAAAUGUCACCAAAGUUUUUUGAAGGAAGUGUCACUAGUAGGCAUUUUGACAGGCCAUUUUGUUGCUAGAUACCACAAGAGAAUUUCACUACGCUGCAGGUGGAGAUUGAAAGAGAGAAAAUGCAUCUGUUUCCUAGCCAGAUAUACCUUGCUUCUGCCACCCUGCCAAUUUGUCAUCACGCUCCCAGGGAAGACAGAGAGGUCCCUGUCUCCAGGAGCUGCAGGCUCUGACAGCCCGGCACUCUCAGCUGCAUUGGGAACUCUAAAGAGGUUGUGGCAGCUGGAGAAAAUAGUCAGGAUGGGCUGAAUUACAGAGCAGCUCCCCAGUUUGGGAGGAUCCCAAACAUGUCAAGAGGAACAGCUGUAACUGCUGCCAACUGAUGCGUGGUUUUCCCAGAUCUCAUGUGUACCUUAGCAUACGACCUCUAAAUAAACUUGCUUCUUCAGAG